GGCUGUUGCAGUCGGUGAACGCUGCAGUUUUCCCCAGGACCUGUUCCAUUAAAUCACCCGUCGAUUCGGGAAAGAAAGCAGACAGAGUCUUCCUCUGGAGCAUCAUUUCAUCACUCUUCUCCUCUCCACUUUACUCCUCAAUGAACCCCAAUACAGGUUCAUUGCCAUCAUUCUUGCCUGGGACGCCAAGGCGGCAUUGCCUUCACUUCCUGCAAGAUGGACUGUACCGUGGAAUUGAGGUGAGCUUGGUCUCAAUCUGCCAUAACAGAUCCCAACACAACUCACUUUGAAGCUUAUUUUCACAGGUUACAGAACUCUGACGGUCUCGGUGUUCCUAGCCUCGUCCCCAGUCCUGCUUUUGCGUUGCCUGCUGCUUCACUAGUUUUAGGUUCCAUUUAUGUGUGCUACAAAUGUUUCUGUCUCACAGAUCUCGAAAGUUUUGCUGCUCACUGGAACUAGAUGCUAAGAAACUGUUGCUGAAGAUGGUGCACAACUUUGGUUUCAACAAAUGGACAAAUCAACCUGGAACUAAGCUGGAAGCUUUGCUCUGCUUGCUAACUUUCAGAGUGCAAAGACAUACUGUUUGGGCUGCUGGAGGAGAAAAGUCAUCAGCAGUCUAACUCAGCUUAGACCCUACGAGAUACAAUAUUGACCUUCCAGAUAUUUUAGUAUGCCAAAAGGCAGUGGUGGAGCCACUGGAUGGAAAAGAUGUCAAGAAGCACCAAGAUGUUAUCCUAAUGUGCAGUUCUUUAUGUUUCUUCUUCUAGAUGAGAUGAGGAAAG